CUUUUCUUUCUUGGGAGAUUUUUGAUUACUGAUUCAGUCUCCUUAUACAUUAUUGGUCUGCUGAGAUUUUCUAUUCUUCAUAAUUUAAUUUUGGUAGGUGGUAUGUUUCUAGUAAUUUGUUCAUUUCUUAUAAGUUAUCUAAUUUAUUGGCAUAUAAUUAUUCAUAGUUGUCUCUUAUGAUCUUUUGAAUUUCCGUGGUAUGAGUUGUAAUGUCUCUUCUUUAAUUUAAAAUUUUACUUGAAUUCUCUCUUUUCCUAAAUUAGUCUAGCCAAGGGUUUGUCGACUUUCUCUUUUCAGAAAACCAACUCUUAGUCUCAUUGAUCUUUCUACUGUUUUUCUAUAAUAGUCUCUAUUUUCUCUAUUUUAUUUUUCCUGCUCUAAUUUUUGUUAUUUUCUUCCUUUGCUAACUUGAGGCUUGGCCUAUUAUUCUCUUACCUCCUUGAGGUAUAAAGUUAGGUUGUUUAGUUGAGAUAUUUCAUUUUUCUUAACGUAAGUUUUUUGAUUUUUUGCUUGUUUGUUUUUAAGACAGGGUCUUGCUCUGUUGCCCAGGCAGAAGCACAGUGAUGUGAUCAUGGCUCACUGCAGCCUCAACCUCCUGAGCUCAAGUGAUCCUUCCAUCUCAGCCUCCCAAGUAACUGGGACCACAGGCAGAUGCCACCAUGCCCAGUGACUCCGUUCACAUGCUCCCGUCUUGUCAUCAAGCCCUGUUCAUCUCUCACCAUCUCUCACCUGGACCAUUGCCAGUUUCUGAGCUGCCUGCUCUUGAAUACCAGCUUCCUGAAAAUAUCACCAAAACGAUCUGGUCCUCAGACAAAGCAGAGUCUAUUGCUCACUGCAGUAACAGAGAGCUCCGUCUUCAGAGUCUUGGUAACAUUUCGCUGAGAGGACAACCCAAUCACACUGUUUAGGAGAUUUUGGAUUCUGACUAAGGUGCCUGGAGCAAAAAUGUGUCCAGAAUUGGUGGGUUGUUGGUCUCGCUGACCUCAAGAACGGAGCCGUGGACCCUCGCGGGACAAGGGGAGUCAGAGGCAGAAGAGAAGGUGUUGUGAUGACAGAAGCAGAGAUCUGAGUGACUCACUUUGAAGAUGGAGGAAGAGGUCACAGGCCAAGUGAUACAGAUGCCAGGAGAAGCUGAAAACAGGAGGAAAUGGAUUCUUCCCUCAGAGCUUCUGGAAAAGAUCAGUCUUGCUGAUAACUUGACUUUAGCCCACUGAAACUGAUUUUGAACUUUUGACUUCCAGAACUGGUCUCAUUAUUGUUGCCCAGACUCAUCUCAAACUCCUGGC
rnacentral:lncRNA from 1 species